AGCGGUAUGGUGUAGUGGUUUGAGCACAGAACUAUAACUCUGGAGAUGAGGGUUCGAUUCCCUGCUCGGCCA